rnacentral:ribozyme from 13 species
AAAAAAACAAAAAAGAAAAAAUGGAGGGAUUGUUUUCUGUUUUCUUUCUCUUUUUGAUGGCUUCUCCUCUCCUGGAAGGCCACAUUUGCUUGAUUUCCCCAAGACAAAGAGGA